GUGGAAGGGAGAAAUCUGGGGGAAUCCGGCAUCCGGCAGCAGUGCGUGAUACGUUGUCGUUCCGAUCAUAGUAGUCUGUUGUUUCGCGGUAUUGAAACAGUGUACGGUUGUGUACGGUGCGGCAAUACGGUGCUCGUUCAAUUCAUGUGUCUCGUCGAUAUCGCGAUCGCAAAAGAGUGCAGUUUGUUCAGUUGCAAUUCUUGUCACGAUCGCGAAAACUGUGUCUAAAAACAGUGACGUUACUCAAGAGGCUAUUGCGCGUUGCGUCUCGUCUCGUCUCGCCUCGCCUCGUUUCGUCUGGUCACGUACGUCUCGUCUCGUCUCCGUCUCCGUCUCGUCUCCGUCUCCGUCUCGUCUCCGUCUCCGUCUCGUCUCCGUCUCUUGUCCUGUCUAUCCUCCGUACGGCCGAUUCGCGAAAGUGCAUGCUACCUUAGAUUGACAACGUCUCGCGAUCGCGUAGAAUGUUGGAUCGCGACACGGCGAUACAUCUCGUCGCCGGAGGAGUGGCUGGUACGGCAGGAGCGAUAGUAACUUGUCCGCUCGAAGUAGUAAAAACCCGAUUGCAGUCGUCGUCUUCCGGUUUUCAUCCGCCGCCAGUAAGUAAAGAAUUUACAUCCGGUCAUCCCACAUGCAAGGGUUCGCCGACGCCUGAACAACGCAGGAGGCUAUGCACUGGAUACCCCAGAUAUUCCAGCCACUUCGUGGCCCUCUCGCAUUUCGGUGUUUCGACCUCGCCUCCGAAUUCUUCCCGAUACGCGCCAGGCAUCUAUCAGUGCUUAAGGUAUAUUAUCAAGAAUGAGGGAGCACGAGGAUUAUUCAAAGGUCUCGGUCCUAAUCUCAUCGGUGUGGCACCGUCCAGAGCUAUCUAUUUCUGUGCGUACUCCAAGAGCAAAGUUGCAUUCAACGCAAUCCUACCUCCCGACACACCGAUCGUUCAUGUUUUCUCCGCGUCCUGCGCUGGGUAUCUUGGGAUUCUAUAAAGGCAUCGUGGCGUCCUACAUAGGCAUAAGUGAGACUGUGAUACACUUUGUGAUAUACGAAGCGGUAAAAGCAUGGCUAGCCACGCACAGAUCACGAGCUUCGCAGGCAGAUGACAGGAAGACGUUCCGCGACUUCAUCGAAUUUAUGGCAGCGGGAUCUUUUUCGAAAACGAUAGCGUCGACCGUUGCCUAUCCUCACGAGGUCGCAAGGACCCGAUUACGAGAAGAAGGUACCAAAUAUCGCGCUUUUUGGCAAACUUUGAGCACCGUAUGGACGGAGGAGGGCACAAAAGGUCUCUAUCGCGGCCUCGGUACCCAGUUGAUCCGGCAGAUUCCGAACACCGCUAUCAUAAUGGCAACGUACGAGGCGGUGGUAUAUGUGCUGACACAACACUUCCGACCCGUUACAGUGGCGACGUCCAGCACCGAUGCGGCAUCGGAAUUUUACAGCGAGGCUAAGGCGAAAAGACAGUUGGCCUAGGAUUUGCUUACGGCCCCUGAGUAAAGGGCCACCCACCAAUUGUUUUCUUUUCUACAGCAGGCGAAUAUUGCGCGUACUCUCGGGAUACCAUCCUGAUAUGUAAUCGUACAUCUAGACGCAACAAAAGAGAGCAGCUCAACGUUGGAAACAUGCUCGAUGUCAUAAUCGUUGCUCCUGGGGUACUCAAAAAGGUACCAGCGCAUUGAUUGCACUGUGCUCUAACAGUAUAGCAAAAAGUAGUCCUUCCUCCUUUCAGGUAGCAUGUACGUACCCGGAGAUGGACCCGGUGUAUCUUGCAGGAAAAGAGAGAGGUGAAAUUAGGGAAAGCGGAUGUUGUUUAAUAAUGUCACAUAGACAUUAGGAAGCUGAGACUUCGCUUCUCGCGAAAUCAUGGAUGCAUAUGAAUGCGGAAAAAGAGCUUAUAUUGCGACAUCGUGGAUGCAUAUGAAUGCAGAACAAGGGCUUGUAUUGUGUUAUCAGAUUUAUUCGAAAUAAGAUUAUCUUUUGCCUUAAAAACCGAACUCCAGAAUCUGAAUUCAGAAUGUGUGAUGCUAUAAUAGUCACUGUAAAUUUUAGGUCUCUCUGACGAGUUUUGCUUUCGGUGCUAUUCUCUAUUUCAC